rnacentral:rRNA from 1 species
ACAGUGGCGAAAGGGUGAGGAAUAGAUAGGUAACGUACCCCGAGCUUCGGAAUAGCGUCAUUCGCCUUCGGGCGAAUUUCCGAAAGGGACGGUAAUACCGAAUAAUGUCAUUGUUCGAAUGGACAAUGACCAAAGAUUUAUCGGCUCAGGAGCGGCCUAUCUCCUAUCAGCUUGUUGGUGAGGUAACGGCUCACCAAGGCUGCGACGGGUAGCGGGACUGAGAGGUUGGCCCGCCACAUCGGGACUGAGACACUGCCCGGACCUCCACGGAGGGCUGCAGUAACGAAUAUUGGGCAAUGGGCGAAAGCCUGACCCAGCAACGCCGCGUGCGGGAUGAAGUCUUUCGGGAUGUAAACCGCUGUCAGGGGUAAGAAAGUCCGGCAGCAAUGCCGGAUUGAUCAGCCUCAAAGGAAGUCACGGCUAACUUCGUGCCAGCAGCCGCGGUAAGACGAAGGUGGCAAGCGUUGUUCGGAAUCACUGGGCUUAAAGGGCACGUAGGCGGAACAGUAAGCGUCCUGUGAAAUCCCCCGGCUUAACCGUGGAACAGCCGGGCGAACUGCUGUUCUUGAGGCAAGCAGGGGUGCGUGGAACUCUUGGUGGAGCGGUGAAAUGCGUAGAUAUCAAGAGGAACGCCGGUGGAGAAAUCGGCGCACUGGGCUUGUUCUGACGCUGAGGUGCGAAAGCGUGGGGAGCGAACGGG